UACGUAGGUGACCAGCGUUGUCCGGAUUUACUGGGCGUAAAGAGCGCGCAGGCGGUCGUUCAAGUCGAGUGUGAAAGCCCCCGGCUCAACUGGGGAGGGUCAUUCGAUACUGAUCGACUUGAAGGCAGGAGAGGGAAGUGGAAUUCCCGGUGUAGUGGUGAAAUGCGUAGAUAUCGGGAGGAACACCAGUGGCGAAGGCGACUUACUGGACACAUAUUGACGCUGAGGUGCGAAAGCGUGGGGAGCAAACAGG
rnacentral:rRNA from 1 species